rnacentral:rRNA from 1 species
GACGCGAGCACUUGUGCUCGAGUGGCGAACGGGUGAGUAAUACAUAAGUAACCUGCCCUAGACAGGGGGAUAACUAUUGGAAACGAUAGCUAAGACCGCAUAGGUACGGACACUGCAUGGUGACCGUAUUAAAAGUGCCUCAAAGCACUGGUAGAGGAUGGACUUAUGGCGCAUUAGCUGGUUGGCGGGGUAACGGCCCACCAAGGCGACGAUGCGUAGCCGACCUGAGAGGGUGACCGGCCACACUGGGACUGAGACACGGCCCAGACUCCUACGGGAGGCAGCAGUAGGGAAUUUUCGGCAAUGGGGGAAACCCUGACCGAGCAACGCCGCGUGAAGGAAGAAGGUUUUCGGAUUGUAAACUUCUGUUAUAAAGGAAGAACGGCGGCUACAGGAAAUGGUAGCCGAGUGACGGUACUUUAUUAGAAAGCCACGGCUAACUACGUGCCAGCAGCCGCGGUAAUACGUAGGUGGCAAGCGUUAUCCGGAAUUAUUGGGCGUAAAGAGGGAGCAGGCGGCAGCAAGGGUCUGUGGUGAAAGCCUGAAGCUUAACUUCAGUAAGCCAUAGAAACCAGGCAGCUAGAGUGCAGGAGAGGAUCGUGGAAUUCCAUGUGUAGCGGUGAAAUGCGUAGAUAUAUGGAGGAACACCAGUGGCGAAGGCGACGAUCUGGCCUGCAACUGACGCUCAGUCCCGAAAGCGUGGGGAGCAAAUAGGAUUAGAUACCCUAGUAGUCCACGCCGUANACGAUGAGUACUAAGUGUUGGAUGUCAAAGUUCAGNGCUGCAGUUAACGCAAUAAGUACUCCGCCUGAGUAGUACGUUCGC